CCUACGGGGGGCAGCAGUGAGGAAUAUUGGUCAAUGGACGAGAGUCUGAACCAGCCAAGUAGCGUGAAGGAUGACUGCCCUACGGGUUGUAAACUUCUUUUAUAAAGGAAUAAAACGAGGCACGUGUGCCUUUUUGCAUGUACUUUAUGAAUAAGGAUCGGCUAACUCCGUGCCCGCAGCCGCGGUAAUACGGAGGAGCCGAGCGUGAUCCGGAUUUAUUGGGUUUAAAGGGAGCGUAGAUGGGUUGGUAUGUCAGUUGUGAAAGUUUGCGGCUCAACCGUAGAAUUGCAAUUGAUACUGGCAGUCUUGAGUACAGAUAGGGUAGGCGGAAUUCGUGGUGUAGCGGUGAAAUGCUUAGAUAUCACGAAGAACCCCGAUUGCGAAGGCAGCUUACUAAACUGUGACUGACAUUGAUGCUCGAAAGUGUGGGUAUCAAACAGGAUUAGAUACCCCAGUAGUC
rnacentral:rRNA from 1 species